rnacentral:rRNA from 1 species
GACGAACGCUGGCGGCGUGCCUAAUACAUGCAAGUAGAACGCUGAAGGAGGAGCUUGCUUCUCUGGAUGAGUUGCGAACGGGUGAGUAACGCGUAGGUAACCUGCCUGGUAGUGGGGGAUAACUAUUGGAAACGAUAGCUAAUACCGCAUAAUAGCAGUUGUUGCAUGAUAACUGUUUGAAAGGUGCAAUUGCACCGCUACCAGAUGGACCUGCGUUGUAUUAGCUAGUUGGUGGGGUAACGGCUCACCAAGGCGACGAUACAUAGCCGACCUGAGAGGGUGAUCGGCCACACUGGGACUGAGACACGGCCCAGACUCCUACGGGAGGCAGCAGUAGGGAAUCUUCGGCAAUGGACGGAAGUCUGACCGAGCAACGCCGCGUGAGUGAAGAAGGGUUUCGGAUCGUAAAGCUCUGUUGUAAGAGAAGAACGAGUGUGAGAGUGGAAAGUUCACACUGUGACGGUAUCCUACCAGAAAGGGACGGCUAACUACGUG